GUCGUUUUUGAUCGACUUAUAAAAUAGACCCCUAAAUUAUCGUUUUAUUUUUCCUUCUCGUUAAGAUUUGUCAGAUCAGUGGACAUUCAUCGAAGCCUACGUCGAAGCAUUUGGACCCCUCUACGAUUGCACUAUUGCAAUCCAAAGACUUGACUGUACACUCAGCGAUUAAAUCUUUUUUUUUUUUCUUCGGUCACUGGAUGACAGCUUAUGGACGAGUGGGAUCACUCUCGUCAAAUGUAUUUAAAGAGACCCUACUGGAAGCUAUGGACAGACGAGAAUCAUCACUGUUCAAUAAUUACGCUAUGCAAGCUGCACUAUACUUAGAUCCAAGGUUCUCUUUUCAUGGUUCUACGCUAUUUUUGCCACAGCAAAAAGAAAACAUUGUGAACUACUUUUUGAAGGUGCAUGAAAAAGUCGUUCUGUCUUCCAAGAAAUCUGACUUGGAACCAUCUUGUGAAACCCAUCCUGAGCCUCCUUCUUUGAGCAACUCGUCACCUUCAUCUUCCAAGAGUAUCAAACGAGCCGAUAAUUCAAUAUCGAUUGCUGAAAAUCAGCGAUAACCAAACGAUUUCUCACUUGCUCAUUAUCGA